GAUGAGAUUUCCCAUUCCUAUAUGGAAGUAAGACCCCUGAGAGAUGAUCAGGUAGAUAGGCUGGAAGUGGAAGUGCAGCGAUGCAUGGAGCGGACCAGUACUAAUCGGUCGAGGACUUAACCAA
rnacentral:rRNA from 1 species